UCUGCGGUAGCUCAAUUGGUAGAGCAAUCGACUGUUAAUCGAUCGGUUGGGGGUUCGAGUCCCCCCCGCAGAG
rnacentral:tRNA from 1 species